CCUACGGGGGGCAGCAGUGGGGAAUAUUGGACAAUGGGGGAAACCCUGAUCCAGCAAUGCCGCGUGUGUGAAGAAGGCCUGCGGGUUGUAAAGCACUUUCGGUUGGGAAGAAAAGUUUGGCGCCAAUACCGCCGAACCUUGACGUUACUGACAGAAGAAGCACCGGCUAACUCUGUGCCAGCAGCCGCGGUAAUACAGAGGGUGCACACGUUACUCGGAAUCAGCGGGGGUGGACCGUGCAUAGGUGGGCGAAAUCCCCAGGCUUAACCUGGGAACUGCAUUCGAUACUACAUGGCUAGAGUAUGGUAGAGGGAAGUGGAAUUUCCGGUGUAGCGGUGAAAUGCGUAGAUAUCGGAAGGAACACCAAUGGCGAAGGCAGCUUCCUGGACUAAUACUGACACUGAGGCACGAAAGCGUGGGUAGCAAACAGGAUUAGAUACCCGAGUAGUC
rnacentral:rRNA from 1 species